rnacentral:lncRNA from 1 species
CGGCGAUAACGAGCGCGUGUACCCGCAUCAGCGGCAGCAAGCUUACGGCCAAUGGCGAACAGCGCACAUUGGUUAACGGGCUGUGGUCGCGCAGAUGGUCAGUUUUACUACCCUUAAAGCAGUUGUUUUUCAUCUGUAAUCGGUACGUGAAGGGUUUCAUCAAGACCGCCGAUCUAAAUAAUUUCAGGAUACCCGUAUUAUUGGCCAGUUUUUCGUAGGCAGCUUGCUGCAAGUAAUUUCCCAAAAUGAGUAACUGGCAUCGCCCGUUGACCCGUAUCUACAAUGAUAAUCACAAAUUCGGAACGUCACUUUAUUCGGGAGCUCUCGACGAUAUUGAUAAGCGGUAUAAAUCUCCGAUCCGAAACACAUCGCUCCGUGACAGGUCCGAUCUGCCAUCACCAAUAACCUGCUCUGCAGGACUUGCUACUAAAGCUGCUUCUUCUCCCGGUCGUCGUGAGCGCCCUGCAUCAAUGUACGACGAACCAACGAGCUCAUCGUCAGUCUUUGAAAGGGAAUUUCAUCAAAUGAAUUCGAAGUCCACGUGGGAUCUACAUGAAUCCCGACUUCAGGUAGACAAAAAUACGGCACAAGUUCAUGCCAAGAAAACGGCGCCCCACAGCAUUAUCACGAACUGCAAAUACAUGGACUCCAUUUUUGUCGGACCCCGCGGCUUUAGGAUCUUCUACUGAACAGAAUAUUGGUAAAUGAUAGCCAUACUGUAUGUGCUUACAAUAGAGCCUAGUUUCUCCAUAACAAUUAAAAAUAGAGCUCAGUUUUAUGCAAACUGGGCCCCAUUUUUAAUCAUUUGGCGUGAAUUUUAAACGCACUUUGAAAUUUUCCCAGAAGCAGCUUUUCAUUAACGAGGAGUAGACUUUUUACGAGAACUACAUUGAUAAUCUUCAUUGAUGCAUAAUAAGUUCAAUACUUUAGCUAAAGACUAUGCUAGAUCUGUAUAUGUUGGUUUUAAUACAUAACUAAUAUUAAAAUUAAACGAACUGUUAAUUUACACUAUUUCUGGUUCUGUAAACAGAACUUAUCCUGUCACAAACUAAGACAUUACAACGACGCUGUAUCGAUUAUAAGUUACACUCUUUGGAAUUACAGCCUAAUCAACUGUUUGUUGUAUAAUAUUAUAUAAACAUCAAGUUCUGUUACCUUUUUAAAUCUUAACUUAUUAUUACUGUAAGACAUAUAUGUCAGAUGAAUAAUGCUGUAAAGGCAUCCCAGGAGUCAGCCGGUCUUGCUGAAUCCUUUAAAUCUUAAUGGACCACACAUUAGUUAUGUUGUCUAUACCAAAACGGACUCACACUUUCGGUCAUCGACGUUCGGAGAAUCGAUGUACGUUACGGAUUCAGCUAAUAAAUGGUACGAACUUCCUGUAACAAUUGGAGUUCAUUAUUUUAAAAUGGAAAUUGAACUUCCGCAAGUAUAAUAGAUUCUGUCUUGCCAAGCUACAGCUGUUAACAGUCGUGGGAGCAGAACACCAACGGUACUUUGAAGGGUCUCUAGGCAAUAGGUAUGAAAAAACAUACGUUCGAAGACAAUAUUGUAGAACGAUUUUAUUCAGUCUGAUCAAAUUCAGAUCUGCUCUUCAUGUCCUCUAAAGAAACACGCUGAUUCAAUUUGUUGUUACAAAGGUAUUAUGUCGGAACAGAAAAAGAAGGCACUAUCUGCAACACUCUUCCGAUGAACAACGUAAAUAAUUCUGUUUUCCCGUACAUCGUUAUUUAUUGAUAGCGCUUAAGACAUCAGUGCAGGAAGCUCCACAGGGUCUAUUGGCGCCCAUAUCGAUAAUUAUCGCCAGACUGGCCACUAUCGUACCGCUUAUUUUCUGCUUCUAGCGAAAUACUAACAUGGCAAUGUUGGCGUUCGUAAGGUUGAUCAAUGGAAAACCAGACGAGUUCAACAUAAAGAGCUAGGAAAGCAUCAAAUGUUUCCUUUUUGCUUCAUCAGGAUCAAUACCACAUUUUUACUUGUCACUGUUAUCUAACUGCAUUCGAGAUAAUUCUCACAAUGAGUUUAACACAGGAAAAGCUCAAAGCUGAGCUGAGAAACAAGCAGAUGGCUAUUAAGAAAAGUGGCGCGCCUUUCGAUUGUUGUUCUAGGCACAACCGAUCGCGUGCUUGGCUAAAUUGUUACUUGCCCCUUACAUCCUCUCUAUAUAAAUGCGUGAAUAUGGAUGUUCCAGAAUCGUUUUUAGGAAGAAUACAAAACAACUGUUACUAUGUGUGAAACAGUUCGCUCAGUAAUGAUCUAGUUAAAUUAACGAUUCCUUUCACUAUACAACUUUUAGAAACUUUCGCUCUUAAUGGCCAGCAGUGCUAAACUGGCUGAAAUCAAAUUGGUGCCUACACGAUAAUGCAAUAAAACAAACAAAUUUAAUGUGUUAUUAAGGGAAACAUUUGACAAAAGCAAAUAGUGUAGCAUCGAUCCGACUCGUUCUGAGGCCGGUUCCGGACUUGAAAGUUGACUCUCAAUCAUAUAGAAUCUAUAAACCGGUUUGAAAGUAAAAUAUCGUUAAAUCAAAUCGAGUAAAGGACCAAUUUUUAAUUAGGAUAAUAAUAGGACCUUCUAAAGUAGCCUUUAAAACAGCUAAAGCAGGAG